AACCUGGUUGAUCCUGCCAGUAGUGUAUGCUUCUUCUAAAGACUAAGCCAUGCAUGCCCUGAAUAAGAAGAAGCAAUUUUCUCUGAAUCUGCGAACGGCUCCGCAAACCAGUUGUAAACUAGCGCAAGCAGCCCUUACGGAGCCCCUCGAAGGGUACUGGAAUGGGCUAUAAGGAUAUCCCUGGUAAUUCUAGGGCUAAUACAAGCUCGUACCACCUUGAUCAAGCAGCCUGACCGGCAGCGCAUCGGGGGGGCGUGUUCUAUAGCUUCGGGGUGAAACAGGAUGUCGAGUACACGCUCAGACUGUCAUAAAACAUGGAUAGGAAGGCGGACUCUCUCUGGGGAUGCAAUGCUGACCUUACCCUGACAGCUCUUGCUGUGUGCUCCUGACCUAUCAACUAGACUGCAGCGUAACGGACAUGCUAUGGUCAUAACGGGUACAGAGGAUUAGGGUUCGAUCCUGGAGAGUGGGCCUGAGAGAUUGCUCAUACUUCUAAGGAAGGCAGCAGGCGCGCAACGUUCCCAUUGAGCAAAGCUCGAGGGCGUUAGGGGAAAUAUGAAUGCCUGCCACUAAGGUGGGCAAUUCAAAUGGGUCUGUCCUAAACAGGCUCUCGAGUAACAAUUAGAGGACAAGUCUGGUGCCAGCACCCGCGGUAAUUCCAGCUCUAAUAGCAUACGUUAAAGUUGUUGCGGUUAAAACGCUCGUAGCUAACAUCAGGGGGGACAAGUUGUUAUCUCGGAUGGCUGAUCGCGACCCCGUAAGGUCCUGGGAUCGACUCAGGUGUAGGGAUACCGUAGUUUACAGAAGAGAGAAGCACCGAAUCCCACUAAGAGAACGUUAACCACUCUAAAAGGUAAAAACGGGUUUUUUGGCUUGAUAUGCCCAAAGGAAAUCGCUAAACUGCCUGGGUUAAAGUGCCUCUUACCAUGAUACAACUGGAGUGCUCAAUGCAGGUCGGAAAGGACCCGUACAGCACAGCAUGGUAUUCCACUGCUUGUCUUGGACCUCCCCCAAUUGAGGGCCUCGCAUCCAGCUGCUACAGGGGUGUUCGAGGGUGACCGAAUUGCUGGGCGAGUGGUGAAAUACGUUGACCCUAGCAAGUCGACCAAAUGCGAAAGCAGUCAUCAAGGGCACACCCUUUGGUCAAGAGCGAAAGUUAAGGGUUCGAAAACGAUCAGAUACCGUUGUAGUCUUAACUAUAAAUGAUACUGGCCAGAGGUGGGAUAGUGUCCAUCUCGACUCUUCCUGAAACUUGGAGAAAUUUGAGUAUUUGAGUUCUGGGGGGAGUAUGGUCGCAAGGCUGAAACUUAAAGGAAUUGACGGAAGGGCACACAAAGAGUGGAACCUGCGGCUUAAUUUGACUCAACACGGGAAAACUCACCAGGUCCAGAUACGAGUAUGAAGGACAAGCUAAAAGACUUUUCCCAAUAACGUAAGUGGUGGUGCAUGGCCGUUCUUAGUUCGUGGAGUGAUCUGUCUGGUUUAUUCCGAUAACGAGCGAGACCCUAACGUUCUUAAUAGGGGGGGCUCCCUGUCGGCGACGUCGAACACGGCAAAGACUAUAGCUUUCUUAAUUCUUUCUCUACUUAGACGGAUCAGAGCCGAAGAGGUUCUUGAAAUAGGGUAAUAACAGGUCAGUCAUGCCCUUAGAUGUUCUGGGCCGCACGCGCGUUACAAUGGCAGGGAAAAAUAGUGCUCUUCGGGGUGCCCCAUAGCCUAACGGUUGUUGUAAUCCUUAAACCCUCCCCUGACUGGGAUAGUCUGUUGUAAUUAUCGGUCUUGAACGAGGAAUUUUUAGUAGUCGUGGGUCAUUAGCCCGCGACGAAUCAGUCCCUGCCCUUUGUACACACCGCCCGUCGCUGCUACCGAUUGGGUUUUGCGGUUACGAGUUCGGAGCUGUAGGCUACUGCUCACAAUAAAAGUAAGCACAGGCUAGCGACAAAGUUCUAAUUACCGCACGGCCUAGAGGAAGCAGAAGUCGUAACAAGGUAAUCGUAGGUGAACCUG
rnacentral:rRNA from 1 species